GUGGAUGAUGAACGGAGUAGCUUCUGAUUUAUGAUGAAAGAUGGGCGAGCUGACA
rnacentral:ncRNA from 19 species